CAACAUUUGGGGUAGAACCCUAAUUUUUCCUGGUUUCAGCUGGCUGAGCAGAGAUGCAAGAGGGCUUCCCUGGAAGCAGGAAAGUGAUGACAUGGCUCCAUUACGAGCCAGGAGCUCACACAGGAGCUCCCAAACCUACACUCUUGGAAUGGCGUUUCAUCUCCUUCCCGAGGGCCUGGGGCUCUCACACAGGCUUUGUGCCCAGCUGGGAUGGCUGGGCACUGACACCAGGGCAGAGACACUGAACAGAGAAAAGAGCAACUCCUCCAGCCAGCCCCAGCUGGGCCUGGGGAACCUCACAGUGCUGCUGCCACACCACCCGUCCUCCUCCCAGCCCCAAGGACACUGCAGAGUUGCUUAUCAGCCUGUAAAUCAGCCCUGGCAAUAAAACCUGGCAUCCAGAGCAAUA